GACGAACGCUGGCGGCGUGCUUAACACAUGCAAGUCGAACGGAAAGGCUCCAGCUUGCUGGCGUACUCGAGUGGCGAACGGGUGAGUAACACGUGGGUAAUCUGCCCUGCACUCUGGGAUAAGCCUGGGAAACUGGGUCUAAUGCUGGAUAUGACCUUUCUCCUUAUGGGGUUUGGUGGAAAGUUUUUCGGUGUAGGAUGAGCCCGCGGCCUAUCAGCUUGUUGGUGGGGUGAUGGCCUACCAAGGCGACGACGGGUAGCCGGCCUGAGAGGGUGAUCGGCCACAUUGGGACUGAGAUACGGCCCAGACUCCUACGGGAGGCAGCAGUGGGGAAUAUUGCACAAUGGGCGGAAGCCUGAUGCAGCGACGCCGCGUGAGGGAUGACGGCCUUCGGGUUGUAAACCUCUUUCAGCAGGGACGAAGCGUAAGUGACGGUACCUGCAGAAGAAGCACCGGCUAACUAUGUG
rnacentral:rRNA from 1 species